AUUGAACGCUAGCGGCAUGCCUUACACAUGCAAGUCGAACGGAGUGGCGAACGGGUGAGUACUGUCUCGGAACGUGCACGUUAGCAAGGGAUCCCUACGCGAAGGCGUAGCUAAUACCGCAGGCUAUUGGAGCGGCCUAUGGCGGCUUAGAUAGUUGGGGGGGUAACGGAUCACCAAGGCGACGAUCCAUAGCGGGUCUGAGAGGAAGAUCCACCACACUGGGACUGAGACACGGCCCAGACUCCUACGGGAGGCAGCAGUGGGGAAUUUGGGACAAUGGGGGAAAGCCUGAUCCAGCCAUCCCGCGUGUGCGAUGAAGGUUUUCGGGUUGUAAAGCACUUUUGGCAGGAAAGCGGUACCUGCAGAAUAAGCACCGGCUAACUACGUGCCAGCAGCCGCGGUAAUUC
rnacentral:rRNA from 1 species